rnacentral:rRNA from 1 species
CUUCGGCCUUAGUGGCGCACGGGUGCGUAACGCGUGCCUACUCUGCCCUUGGGUCCGGAAUAACAGUUGGAAACGACUGCUACUACCGGAUGAUGUCUCAAGACCAAAGAUUUAUCGCCCAAGGAUGGGCCCGCGUCGGAUUAGCUAGUUGGUGGGGUAAAGGCCCACCAAGGCGACGAUCCUUAGCUGGUCUGAGAGGAUGAUCAGCCACACUGGGACUGAGACACGGCCCAGACUCCUACGGGAGGCAGCAGUGGGGAAUAUUGGACAAUGGGCGAAAGCCUGAUCCAGCAAUGCCGCGUGAGUGAUGAAGGCCUUAGGGUUGUAAAGCUCUUUUACCCGGGAUGAUAAUGACAGUACCGGAAGAAUAAGCUCCGGCUAACUCCGUGCCAGCAGCCGCGGUAAU